CGGUGUCAAAUUGACUCUAGUAGGGAGUCCAGCUUUUAUUAAAAUGGCGACUCCCUAACGGAGUCAGAUUGACUCCUUC
rfam:Pediculus humanus corporis strain TSDA 1103172096249, whole genome shotgun sequence.